rnacentral:lncRNA from 1 species
CGAAUCUCUCCCAGCUCUUCCCCGGGGCGGCUGAUGCCGCCGUGCCCAUCGCCCUGCGGGAUGCGGCCCCACGGGAGGUGGAGACCACAGAACCACAGAACAGUUGGAAGGGACCUCGAAGGUCCUCCAGUUCCAACCCCCAGCCUACAGACUGUACCCAAAAGCCCAAAUGUGAACCAUCCAUAACACAUUUCCACCUCUUUUUGACCAACGCAACCAUCGCGGGACGCUCAGGGCGAGAGCCCGUUGGGUUUUGAUGAUCUCCAAGGACAGACAGCCCACAUCCUCUCUGUACAACCAGCUCCAGUCUGACUGCCCU